rnacentral:lncRNA from 1 species
AAGACAAGCUAUUUUGUUCUUGAAUGAGGCAAUGCAAUUCGUAAUAUCUAAAAAAAUAUUGCCGUUGAAUCCACAACUAGUGUCAUAUAUUUUACACCAGCAAGGCAGCUACCGUUUGAAACAGUCUCACAUUCCCUGUACAUGAACAAUAUUUGGAUAGAUUUUUCUUUUUUCUUUUUUUUUAUUCCAACUUGGAUGGAUUUGAUUGCCAUCUAUAACAGGCAGCCACCAUGUAGCUUCCAACUUUAAAAUAUAAAUGAAAUUGUAGGUUCACCAUCAGUUGGUGACCAACAUAACAUCACUUGAAAAGGCAGAUGGCACUUGAAGUUUUGUGAGAGUACUAAUAAACUUGGAAAUACAACUUUUGCAAGAGGCUCCUCGUCCCUGCCACGCAAUACAGCUUUCAGAUCCAAAGCAAGUUAUUCUAUCUGAAAACAGAUUGGAGAUCUUUCAACCAUCGUCACAAUGUCUCAAAUCCAAAAAGAAAUCAACACGAUGACCUAUCAACUGUCAUGAACUCGUGGAAAGUGGCUUGAAUUCCUAAAUUGAAAGUCAUAGUUAGGAUAUGAGUAGACGUGGUGGGUAUAAUUGCGAUGAUUGUGCCCCUGAUCCUGUAAACUUGGCAUCACAUACAUCUCAGGGUCAUGCAUGAAAUGUGGCGAUCUUGUCAUAGUUGAACUUUGAUCCAUGUCAUGGCCAGAGAAAUGAAAUGGUGCAUUCCUGCAGUAAAACUCUAUUUUAUGGGCAAGGAAUUAGGUGAUGUGAGUAUGACAGAAGUGUUUGACCUUAUUGCUAUGGAGGUGUGAUAAAGUUCUUCUGUCUCUCAAAAAAUUGAGAACCUACUGACCUUGCAGUUUGCUCAUUGUUCAUAUUUGUUGAUGGAGGAGCCUCUUGGCGAAGAUCAUUACAUUUUACAUGUUGCUAAUGCCCGAC